GAAAUGCGAUAAGUAAUGUGAAUUGCAGAAUUCAGUGAAUCAUCGAAUCUUUGAACGCACAUUGCGCCCGCCAGUAUUCUGGCGGGCAUGCCUGUUCGAGCGUCAUUUCAACCCUCAAGCCCUGCUUGGUGUUGGGUGCCGGCACGCGCGCCUCCGGGCGCCCCGCCGCCCCCGAAAUGAAUUGGCGGUCUCGUCGCAGCCUCCCUCGCGUAGUAGUAAAACAUCUCGCUUGGUGGAGUGCGGCGCGGCCACGCCGUAAAACCUCUUAAUUUUUUUUAAGUUGACCUCGGAUCAGGUAGGAAUACCCGCUGAACUUAA
rnacentral:misc_RNA from 1 species